rnacentral:rRNA from 1 species
CGUAGGCGGCAAGCGUUGUCCGGAUUUACUGGGCGUAAAGGAUGCGUAGGUGGAUAUUUAAGUGGGAUGUGAAAUACCCGGGCUCAACUCGGGUGCUGCAUUCCAAACUGGAUAUCUAGAGUGCAGGAGAGGUAAGUGGAAUUCCUAGUGUAGCGGUGAAAUGCGUAGAGAUUAGGAAGAACACCAGUGGCGAAGGCGACUUACUGGACUGUAACUGACACUGAGGCAUGAAAGCGUGGGGAGCAAACAGGAUUAGAUACCCUGGUAGUCCACGCCGUAAACGAUGGGUACUAGGUGUGGGAGGUAUCGACCCCUUCCGUGCCGCCGUUAACACAAUAAGUACCCCGCCUGGGGAGUACGGUCGCAAGAUUA